AUCGUAACUCCUACGGGAGGCAGCAGUGGGGGAUAUUGCACAAUGGGCGCAAGCCUGAUGCAGCGACGCCGCGUGAGGGAUGACGGCCUUCGGGUUGUAAACCUCUUUCAGUAGGGAAGAAGCGAAAGUGACGGUACCUGCAGAAGAAGCACCGGCUAACUACGUGCCAGCAGCCGCGGUAAUACGUAGGGUGCGAGCGUUAUCCGGAAUUAUUGGGCGUAAAGAGCUCGUAGGCGGUUUGUCGCGUCUGCCGUGAAAGUCCGGGGCUUAACUCCGGAUCUGCGGUGGGUACGGGCAGACUAGAGUGAUGUAGGGGAGACUGGAAUUCCUGGUGUAGCGGUGAAAUGCGCAGAUAUCAGGAGGAACACCGAUGGCGAAGGCAGGUCUCUGGGCAUUAACUGACGCUGAGGAGCGAAAGCAUGGGGAGCGAACAGGAUUAGAAACCCGAGUAGUCCUAGAGC
rnacentral:rRNA from 1 species